GGGUACGACCAUACUUGGCCGAAUGCACCACAUCCCGUCCGAUUUGUGAAGUUAAGCGGUCACAGGCCUCGUUAGUACGGCGAUCAGUGAUGGCGCUGGAACCCGGGGUGUCGUACUCUGUUUUUU
rnacentral:rRNA from 1 species